rnacentral:rRNA from 1 species
AACGAACGCUGGCGGCAUGCCUAACACAUGCAAGUCGAACGAGACCUUCGGGUCUAGUGGCGCACGGGUGCGUAACGCGUGGGAACCUUCCCUUAGGUUCGGAAUAACUCCCCGAAAGGGGUGCUAAUACCGGAUAAUGUCUUCGGACCAAAGAUUUAUCGCCUUUGGAUGGGCCCGCGUUGGAUUAGCUAGUUGGUAGGGUAAAAGCCUACCAAGGCGACGAUCCAUAGCUGGUCUGAGAGGAUGAUCAGCCACACUGGGACUGAGACACGGCCCAGACUCCUACGGGAGGCAGCAGUGGGGAAUAUUGGACAGUGGGCGAAAGCCUGAUCGAGCAAUGCCGCGUGAGUGAUGAAGGCAUUAGGGUUGUAAAGCUCUUUUAACCGGGAUGAUAAUGACAGUACCGGGAGAAUAAGCUCCGGCUAACUCCGUG